AUUCCUUUUUGAAUUUUCAAUAAUUCUAUUAUCUAUUUAAAGCAUUAGUAAAUGUUGGUUACUGGUGAAGCUAACAUACCCACAUUGCCACAACAAGCAAUUUUUCACACUACAUGUAUCUUAUUAUUCCAGGGUCGCAGAGCUUCUCUGUAGACAACCGUUCAUUUGGCAAUUUGGUAUACUCAUUCAAUGGGUAUGAUGAUUUAACCGUAAAAUAUGAUGGACGUCAGAUGCCACAAGGGUGUUUUAUAGCCGUUUCAACUUCUCAGAUGAGCGAUAAUCUGACUCUGUGCUUUGAUCAGAAGUUCGAAAAUACGUCACUAACAACAAUGUCUUACAAAGUAAAGUACCAUAUAGCGCUGGUAAAGAAAACUGCAGAUGAGAUAAUAGAUAGUGUUGAUGACACCUCAGAAUGGUGUGUGAAUUCAUCAAAAGUAUUUGUGGUGUAUGUGUCUGGAGGAGGAUCAUCUCCUCAACCAGAAAUUGAGAUCAAGAUUAAAGUUAAAGACAAAAAAAACCAGCGAAGACAAAACAGACAGCGUUACGCCAAAUAAUGUAUUUGAGGCAGGUAAAAUUGAGGUCGUUGAAGAUCCUGUCAUUGGCAUAAUUGUGGGUGUUGGUGCUGGUAAUUGUGGCCUGUGUUGUUGUUUUCUGUUUCUGCCUCAAACGCCAGCGGAACAGGCAGGGCCAGGUCAUUUGUCAGCCACAGACCACCAUGG